rfam:Hordeum vulgare subsp. vulgare, WGS project CAJW01000000 data, contig: morex_contig_47185
AUUAUACUCCCUCCGUCCGGAAAUACUUGUCUAAAAAAUAAAUGAAUCUAGACUUGUUUUAGUUAUAGAUAUAUCCAUUAUAUUCAUUUUUAAGACAAGCAUUUCCGGAAGGAGGGAGUAUAAA